UACGAAGGGGGCUAGCGUUGCUCGGAAUCACUGGGCGUAAAGCGCACGUAGGCGGCUUUUUAAGUCAGGGGUGAAAUCCUGGAGCUCAACUCCAGAACUGCCUUUGAUACUGAGAAGCUUGAGUUCGGGAGAGGUGAGUGGAACUGCGAGUGUAGAGGUGAAAUUCGUAGAUAUUCGCAAGAACACCAGUGGCGAAGGCGGCUCACUGGCCCGAUACUGACGCUG
rnacentral:rRNA from 1 species